GAGGGUAUAGCUCAGUGGCAGAGCACAUGCUUAGCAUGCACGAGGUCCUGAGUUCAGUCCCCAGUCCCUCCA
rnacentral:tRNA from 1 species